UUUAUUGAACUGGAAUGAAAGGCUUAACAAAUGCAUAAUUUUUUAUUUAAAAUAACUAAAAUUUUUAUUUUUUGUAAGAAUACAUAAAUAUUUAAAAGGGACGAUAAGACCCUAAAAGCUUUAUUAGUUAAAUUUUUAUUAUUAUUUUAAUUUGAUUAUUUAAUGUAUUUUAACUGGGGCGGUUGUUUUUAUAACAAAAGUUUUUUUUACAAAUAGGUUAAAAGAUCCUUAAAAUUAGGAUAGGUUGUUUAAGUUACUUUAGGGGUAACAGCGUAAUAAUAAUAGGGAGACCUUAUUUAUAUUAUUGAUUGCGACCUCGAUGUUGAAUUAAAUAUUUCCAUAUAAAGCAGAAAUUAUGUGUGAAAGUUUGUUCAACUUUUAAAGAUUUACAUGAUCUGAGUUCAAA
rnacentral:rRNA from 1 species